rnacentral:rRNA from 1 species
GAUGAACGCUGGCGGCGUGCCUAAUACAUGCAAGUCGAGCGAACAGACGAGGAGCUUGCUCCUCUGACGUUAGCGGCGGACGGGUGAGUAACACGUGGAUAACCUACCUAUAAGACUGGGAUAACUUCGGGAAACCGGAGCUAAUACCGGAUAAUAUAUUGAACCGCAUGGUUCAAUAGUGAAAGACGGUUUUGCUGUCACUUAUAGAUGGAUCCGCGCCGCAUUAGCUAGUUGGUAAGGUAACGGCUUACCAAGGCAACGAUGCGUAGCCGACCUGAGAGGGUGAUCGGCCACACUGGAACUGAGACACGGUCCAGACUCCUACGGGAGGCAGCAGUAGGGAAUCUUCCGCAAUGGGCGAAAGCUUGACGGAGCAACGCCGCGUGAGUGAUGAAGGUCUUCGGAUCGUAAAACUCUGUUACUAGGGAAGAACAAAUGUGUAAGUAACUAUGCACGUCUUGACGGUACCUAAUCAGAAAGCCACGGCUAGCUACGUG